GUGAACUUUGCAAAAGCAAGCAAGCUAUAUGACUGGAGAAAAGGAAUCAGAAAGAUAAAGUGGGACGAGUGGCUGGCGCAUAACAGGGUGGUUUUAAGGCAUCGAUAAAGAGAAUGAGCACAACGGGAAGCUACAUGAUGAUGUGAGAAUAUCUCCUUAUCUAAGAUUUAAGGUGAAAUGCGUUGGGGAUGCAGCUUGGUUAGUAGAGAGCUUACCAAGCAUGAACCAUUCCCUGGGUUACACUUCCAGCACCACAUAAGCCAGGCAUGGUGGUCCACAUCUGUAAUCCCAGCACUAUCAGGAAGAGGUGAAAAAGUUCAGUCAUCUUGGGCUGCAUAGCAAGCCUAGAGCAACUUGUCCUAGAACCGUUGUUUGAGGGGGAAAAAAAAUGAAAUUGUUUUUUGAAAGGUCACUGACAAGGCCAUGAACUGGACAUACUAAGAUGGUAUCAAUUCGCAGCUCUGGGACAGGGGAGAGAGAGUGUGCAAGAGAGGCGAAGUAUUCGAAGACUGACUGGAGGGAGGGGCAAAGUGCACCAGUUACAGCAAGGGGAUCGAAGCUGAGUCUCCAGGUCUCUGUGCUAUCACCUGAAUCAUGUCACCUCCUAAGUUCACAUGUAGCAAGAUGUAUUAGUAUUACGAGGAGGGGCUUUGGCUGUGUGUAUCCUGGGCAUGAGAGUAGAGCUUCUUCUGUAAGAGAAACAAGGGCUCUUAACCAUGAAGCCAUCUCUCCAGCUCUUCAGUUACCUAUUAAAUAGCAAAAUGUCCUUACUUGUUUGUCCCCUUUGCUCCUCUGCCACAUGAGGACACACAGAAGAUACCAUCAAUGAAAAAAUAAUAAAACCUAAGACAUCUGGUCUUUAGCCUUCAUCUUGAACUUCACAGCCACCACAACAGAUCAGUAAAUCUCUGAUGGUAAUUUACCUGUGCAGGUAUUUGUAGCAGCCCAGCUUCAUUUAUUCACUUCAGCAAUUGUAUCUUAAAAGACAAACUAGAGGGCCAGGUGUUGGUGGCGUACGCCUUUAAUCCCAGCACUCGGGAGGCAUGAACCACCUGUGUUUUAAUUUUUUUUACUUUAUGUAUUUAUACUUUACCUGUAUGAGUGUUUGCCUGCAUGUAUGUAUAUGUAUCAUUGUACAUACCUGGUGUAGCAGAAGCAAUGGAUUCCUUGGAUCUGGAGUUACCAACUGUUGUGAGCCUCCAUGUGGGUGCUGAGAAUCAAACCUAGGUGCUCUACAAGAGAAGCACGUGCCCCUUAUCAUGGAGCCGUCGAUCCAGCUGUUUUAAAUAGCAAACAACCCCACACUACAGCUCAAACUAGCUUCUAUAAACUCCAGGCCUGACGUUUACUAACAAUAGCACUUGUAUGCUGCACAGGCAUUUAAAUUCAUUAUUCCCAAAAUUAAACUGUUGUCUUCUCUUCCCCUGACUCUGCUCAUUCUUCAAAGUAUUUCUAUAGGAGUAUUACUUAAGUCUUUCUUAACAACACUCCCUUCCCCACUAGAUUCUUUUGAGUCUGCUUCCUAAGGCUUCAAAUUGGUCUCUCUCUAUCCUCAAAAUACUACUGGAGUACUGACCACUAUCAUCUCUUCAUUUCUCCCAAAACGCCUUCAAGUAUUCUGUUCCCCAGGGAUCCUCUAAUUGCUAAAUUGACUCCAUAUCGCUA
ensembl:lncRNA